GUGCCAGCCGCUGCGGUAAUACGUAGGGCGCAAGCGUUGUCCGGAAUUAUUGGGCGUAAAGAGCUCGUAGGCGGUUUGUCGCGUCUGCUGUGAAAACCCGAGGCUCAACCUCGGGCCUGCAGUGGGUACGGGCAGACUAGAGUGCGGUAGGGGAGACUGGAACUCCUGGUGUAGCGGUGGAAUGCGCAGAUAUCAGGAAGAACACCAAUGGCGAAGGCAGGUCUCUGGGCCGUAACUGACGCUGAGGAGCGAAAGCAUGGGGAGCGAACAGGAUUAGAUACCCUGGUAGUCCAUGCCGUAAACGUUGGCGCUAGACGUGGGGACCUUUCCACGGCUUCCGUGUCGUAGCUAACGCAUUAAGCGCCCGCCUGGGGAGUACGGCCGCAAGGCUAAAACUCAAAGGAAUUGACGGGGCCCGCACAAGCGGCGGAGCAUGCGGAUUAAUUCGAUGCAACGCGAAGAACCUUACCAAGGCUUGACAUAUAGAGGAAACGGCUAGAGAUAGUCGCCCCGCAAGGUCUC
rnacentral:rRNA from 1 species